rnacentral:rRNA from 1 species
UACGGAGGGUGCGAGCGUUGUCCGGAAUCAUUGGGCGUAAAGGGCGCGUAGGUGGCCCGGUCAGUCCGUGGUGAAAGCGCGGGGCUCAACCCCGCGUCGGCCUAUGGAUACUGCUGGGCUGGAGCACUGUAGAGGCAGGCGGAAUUCCGGGUGUAGCGGUGGAAUGCGUAGAGAUCCGGAAGAACACCAGUGGCGAAGGCGACACGCUGGGCCGUACCUGACACUGAUGCGCGACAGCAUGGGGAGCAAACAGG